CCCUUAGAUGUCCGGGGCCGCACGCGCGCUACACUGAAGGAAUCAGCGUGGCUUUCUCCCUGACCCGAAAGGGUUGGGAAACCCGUUGAAUCUCCUUCGUGAUAGGGAUUGGGGCUUGAAAUUGUUCCCCAUGAACGAGGAAUUCCCAGUAAGCGCGAGUCAUAAGCUCGCGUUGAUUACGUCCCUGCCCUUUGUACACACCGCCCGUCGCUACUACCGAUUGGAUGGUUUAGUGAGACCCACGGAUUGGUCCCAGCAUGGCGGGAUACCGCCGCGCUGGCGCGCCGAGAAGUCGGUCGAACUUGAUUAUCUAGAGGAAGUAAAAGUCGUAACA
rnacentral:rRNA from 1 species